GUGUGUGUGCAUGCAUGCGUGUGUGUGUGUGUGUGCAUGCGUGCGUGCGUGCGUGUGUGUGUGUGUGUGUGUGUGUGUGUGUGUGUGUGUGCCCGCAUUUGUUUUCUCUUUCUGAAACGAUCUCCCUCUGGAUGCCAGUCUGUCCUGGUCCUUGACACAGUCCUUCCUACUUAGUCUCCCCCAUGCCGGGACUCCAGGCAUGAAAGCACCCGGCUCAGCGCUUGGUGCUUUUCUUCUCUGGAUUUCCCCUGACUCCCGUCCCAUUUUGUUAAAGUGACCGACUCUCUGCAAAUGUCCGAGGAACAAAUACUUUUUGGUCAGUGAAGUGUGUGCACUGGGGUCGGGCUUGGAAGCACAUGAAGGUGAUGGGGGUUCUGUCUGUGAGCUCUUGGCUGUUGCAUUUCUCUCUACUUCCACCGGUUGGCUGCAGGGCUAGGGCAGGGCAGAGACCGGAAUAGAAGAGCUAAAUUUAUCCUGGGAGCCCGGGCGUGGCUGCGGCUCAGGCCGCGCGGCCUGGAUGGAGGCGGUGCUCGGUGGCCGCCCUCCCGGAGCUGGUUUCCUCCCUGGGAAAGCAGGUCUCUCCGCGGUGCUGAGGAGCUCGGGCUGGAAUUUCCCCGCAGCGCCGCCCCGCCGGGAGGGACCAGGAGGGAUCUACCCGAGCCCGAUGAGCAGCCCGGGGAGACGCCCGAAACCCAGAACCUGCGCGUUAAAACUGAAAACUUUCCUCCCUUCCACCAUGUCAGUCCCAGGGAUCGAACUUACGCGGUCAGGCACGGUGGUGUCAAGGUCUGGACUCUGCAGGUGUGGAGCAGUGCUGCCAUCUGUCCAGAAGAGGGCGCGAUCUGCAUUCUUCAGAACUGGAAGAACAAGAGCAGCAAGCCUGAGAAAUAAGGCUAUUCCUCCACCUGGAGUGGUGCAGUCUUUCAGUUCAAUAAUUAAAGAUGUAUUUUAAAAACCA
rnacentral:lncRNA from 1 species